ensembl:lncRNA
CACAUCAAGUAAGCUUUCCUGAUUGUUGUUGUAAUUUUGUAGCAGAUGGCCCAAUGGGUUUCCAUCAGCAAGAAGAUGCUAAUAGUGAUAUAAAGCAUGCAAUUACUAAGUUUCUUGGGGAUAGUCCAACUACAGGGAAUAUUCCUAAUUUAAAGAAGCUUUAACUGCCAGUAUAUUUAUUCUUCUUAAACCUUUCUAACUUUGGAUAUCAAGUGCAAUAAUACAUUCUAUUCCCUGUCGUUCUUGUUCAGGGAAUGUGCCUAAUUUUGGAAUUACUGGCAUCUGUACAUCAUUUCGGUGGUAAAUUACGGUUGGGAUAUGUUAACCCCAAAGUCAUCAUAAGGAGACUCAGAAACAGUUCAUGAUUUCCUGUGAUGAGAAACUUGUUUUCAUAUCCUGAAUGGAUUUUCAUAUCUUUGGAAGAAAAUCUUUCUUGUGUACAUACACAUUCUUCAUGUGAUCAAAGUGAGGUCCUGUUCCCUUCAGCUGCCUUCUGGACAUCACUGCCUCUCUGGUGGAACAGCAGAACAGAUGUUAACUACAGCAGUUGCUCUCAGUAAAUGGCUCACUUUCUGUAGUGGCUCAUCUACCUUCUGGCUGAGCAGAAGAACAAUCUGAUAUCAAUUGUAAUGCCAUCCUCAAAGCCAUCCUUCAAAUGUGUGGAGUGGGAGAAGUGAAGGGUAUGCAACAGACAGGUAUGUGGUAGUGUGGAGACCCAGGAUGCAGCUCCUGCAGCAAGCAGGACAAGAGGUUGCCUGUCAUUGGGAUGUAGGGGUCUUUCUCCAUCCCAAGGCUACAGUGUUAUAUGUCACAGGACUUUUACUGCUAUCACUUGGUAACAAUUCAUCAGAAAAUAUUCUGUGUCUUUCGCAUUGAAGUGAAAAAGUGUGAGCCCUGUCACAACACGUUCUGACCACAUGCAAGCAUUCUGGUGCCUGUCACUAUUGCAUCAUCUGGGCAUUUUCAUUCAUUCUAUGCAUUUGUUAUUUUGAUCUUAAAAUGCCCCUCUGUGCAAUUCAGUUGAGAUAUUUCCGUUUUUAAUAAUACAUUUUCCAUAAUGCUUUCCUUCCUCCUUCAGACCUCUCUGAAAUCGAGCACUGCAGUCCACUGACAUGUUGACAGUUUUACAUGAAUUAAUGAAAAAGGAGUUGGAAGUGACUGACAAAGAUUUGUUUAUUAUUAUUAAACCGACUGUGAAUAUAAGUUGCUCUACUGAAAAGAAAAUUAAGAGAAGGAGGAACUGAAAAAAGUAUCAAUCCGCAAUGUAUGAUUAAGAAUAUAUUCUAUUCUUCAAUCAAUGAAUAAUUUUAAGAACUAAGGCUGCUGCCUGGAGGCAGAAAUCCUUGUUCUGAAUUGCACUCAGGACUGCCUUACUGGUAUGGCUAAUAUGCUGAGAGGAAGUGAAAAUGGAUAUUUCAACACUGUGAAAAAUACUAGCUCAAAGUUGGUCCUUUAAUGGAGAAAGAAAAAUAUGAAUCAUCUUGGUAACAAAACAAAAAGAUAUAAGAUGAAAAGGUACUUGCUGGAUAAUUUGUUAUCUACUUUUGCUCAGGUAAAAAGCUGAAAUACAUAAGUCUAAGAGUCGCAGAAGUGACACCUCAUCUUUUUGGAGGAACGCACUGUGGAAUGUGUUAGCUUACCGUAUCACGUCAGGCUCAUGCUCUCAUCAUUUGCACACACUCCUAUUUCACACCCAUGUUUCCUUUAACACUUCAGCCUUCCCCAUCCGCUCAGUGUUUGCCUUUGCCUGGUCUGUGGUAACAACGAAGCCUGGCACUCACCAGGCCUGGACUGCAUGGCGCAGGCCAGCUCAAACAAGGCUGCUUCCUCUUUCUGUUUUCCUGCCCAGAGGCCAGCCAACCAAAGAUGAAAUUCCUCCAUUCCUGGAACAUCUGGCUGAGCCUCUCAAUGCUUGUAAUUAUCCUCCUACUCCCAGCUCUCUGCAGGUGCAGGGAAGUGUGGUGAAGGUUCUGUGAGAGCACAGCUUUACGGUGGGUAAGUUCACAUAUAAAUCUCACGUAAAUGCAUACCAUAUGAUUUAACAUACAUUUUUGGUUUUAUAAUUUUUGCUGAGAGUGGAUCUCACUGAUAAAAUGCCAGGUGGAAUAAUAUCAGUUAAGAAACUUAGGGCAAAACCUCCAAACUUGCAGUGAGUGCAGAACUAUGUAUUGUCAUCAAAAUCUACAUCUCAACAUCAUAUACUGCCAUAUCACUAAUGCUUUUACCAUCUGCCUACCCUCAUUCACUUUUUAUCCCUUCUCUCAACACAGGCUCUCAUUUCUCAGCUGCUUUUUGUCUUCACUCACUGCUCCUUCCUCGUCAGUCAGCCACUUGCUGCCCUCAUCUCACACAGAAACCCCAGGAAAACCUUCCCAUGCAUUCCCUAGCAGGGGAUGCUCUCGUAGUCCAAACAUGAAUGUUGCCAGAGCCACAACCUGUUCCUUGUUCAGCUCAGCACAGCACAUCUAAGCAGAUGGAGACAGCUGCAACAUGAGAGUUGCACAAAACCCAAGAAGAAAUGAGCAAGAACGUACCAUCCAGCAGCAGCCCUGCAAAUAGGGAAAAGGGAGAAGCAAGUCUUGGGUUCUUGUCCCAUCUUCAGGGAUGGUUCAUGGAUUUUACAUUGAAAAAUGAUAGAAUAAAUGAUAAAAAAGAAGAAGAAGAAGAAGAAGAAGAAGAUGACAGAAGAAUCAAAUCUGGGAGUGGAAACAAGAUGUUCUCCUUCCAGGAAGAAGGAAGAAAGGAAGAGAGGGCCUGGGUUUAUUUUGCUUUCCUAACCCCAGAUGUCUUGUCCACUGUAACCACCAGCCUGUAGGAGAACCUACGAAGCAGCCCAAACCUGAAAUGGGGCCAACUUACAAGAAGUAAAUAAGGAUUCUUCAGUUCCAAAAGACAGCUCACCUAUGCAACACUGGCAUACUACAGUGGCUGCUCCAAAAGUAAUGCUUCCCAUUUUAUUUUGUUGGCAAACUAUGACAGAGACAGACAUUGAUACUAUGGCAGUACAGGUUGAACCUUUCCCCCGAUAUUCCAUUACAUUUUGUUGUUGUGCAACAGAUGGAAGCAGAGGGGCAGUCUGACAAAAUGGUGUCUUACAUGGAAGUAUGUGUGAAGCAAAGGUGUGUCACUGAAUUCCUCCAUGUGGAAAAAGCAUACUGACAUUCAUUAACGCUUGCUGAAUGUUUCUGGAGACCAAACAGUGGAUGUGAGCACAGUGAGGAGGUGGGUAGUGUGUUUUAACAGUGGUGUCAGCAACAUGGAAGACAAGUCAUGUUCCGAUGGCCACGCCCAGCUGUCACACCAUGAAAUGAAGAGUGGUUUUAUCAGCUCAUCCACACAGGAAUCAGCUAAUGGUGGUGAUUAUGCAGAAAAAUAGUGUUUUGUAGAGAAGAGUUUGCUUUAUCAAACACUAUUACCGUGCUCUUUGUAUCUGUUGCAGUUUCUAUAGAAAUAAAUAGGAGGCAUUACCUCAGAGCAGCCGAUGUACAUACCACUGAAAAAUUUCAUUGCCUCAAACUUUGAUGUAUUGCUAUAAGUUGUUUUCCAAAUCAAGAGAAAACAAAACAAGAAUCUCUCCUCAAUGACUCCACACUGCCCUGCACCACAUACAGUUCCUGAGCAGCAGACGGUUCCUAGGGGACCUUGGUUGCACGAUAAGUGCUGGUGCUAUGAAUUGUUGCAAUGGGUUACAGAGUAAUCUCAACUUUUGUUUGCAGGAGGGAGUCUGGUAGCCCAAGCUUUUGAGGGUGAUAUUAUUUCCUUGAUUCUAUGAUUCGACUGCAUGGCUAAUCCAGUCUGACCUUGUAAUGGACAGGUGGGAGUCCUAAUGAGCCAUCAUCAGCUCCUCCUGAGAGCUUCCACUUCCCUCAGUCUAUCUGCAUUAGUAGCAUUUGUGUGUGUUGUGGCCUCCAGCCAUAUGAAGAUUUCAGUGAGCAGCUCACAGAGGCAAAGAAGGUAGCAUCCACAAAAAGUGGAGAUACUCAGGAGUAAGUAUAGACACCUGGCUCCCAGUCCUUGCUUCACUGGUUGGUUUAUGUAUUUAAAAUACAUUUUUAUCUUAUAUUUAACAUCUACGUUAGAAAUCUUACAUAAACCAGUCACUGGAGCAGGGGCUGAGAUUCAGGUGUCUCUGGCCCUCAGUGAAUGUUCCUGCUAUGCAGCAUACAGCUCCUUAGGUGAUACAGGCAGAGGAACAUGCUUGUGGAACCUGUCAGGCAUAAAUUAGACAUGGGGAAUUCAGCUCUGCUGUCACUGAAAGACUCCUAGACAUACCGAGAAACAUCAGGCACUUGGUUUAAUGCUGAAAGCAGAGGACUUAUUGGUAGCUGAAAAAUAUUUGGAUGCAGGCACCUUAAGAUCAAUCAUGUAUUUUUAAAAUCUUACUAAAUACUUAUUUGCAUCUUUAGGUACCUAAGUAACUGCAACAGUUUGAUUUCAGGUCAAUUUAAAUACUUGUGCUUCUUGCAUGUUAUUUUAAGACUUUUCCCUUAAUAAUUUUUUUUCCACUCUAAAAGUGGUUUCCUAAUGCGACUCAGAGGGAGACUGUCAUUAGUAAGUCAUUAAUGAGCCUGUAACUUUGAUUGUGUUCAUUACAUGUCAAGUAAGAAUUAUUUCAAUGAAGUAAAUUACUUUUUUUUUUGCCUAAUCAGUAGGACAAGAAUUCAUGCUCAGCAUCCCUUUACUCUGAGAGAUUUGAUCCUUUUGUUUGAAAUAUGUUAGCUACAACUGUUACUUUCAACCUAUAUUUCUGGUUCUCAGCUAUUAAAACAGAAAUGUAUUUUGUUUGUCUGACCAGGAAAAGGCACUUUGAAAAUAUCUGUCCUAUUGCCUAGGCUGCCUCACUAAGGGGUUGUGCUCACACUUAUAAAUUACAAAAACAGAAGAAAAAAAGAAGAAAACAUAAAACUCUACUGUACAUAAGCAAUUAUUUAAAAAUAAUCAUUUUCUGCUAGCAUUUUUUGGCAGCAUGCGCUCUGAGACACGCGAUAAUAUGGAACUAGCCCAAAGACACUGCUGCAUGUUAGUAAAUAUCACGUGAGUUUUCAGGGUCAUCACCCAGGACUGUCACAAAACAGGUUAUGUCAGAGGCAAGCUGAGCAUCAGCUUUGAAAUUCCUGUUUGAUUAACUGGUGACCUUCUUGAGCCUUCUGCAGAAUAUAUUUAAGCAUUAGAAAGAAAAUAGAUGAUGAGAAAGUCCAUGAAAAUACUCUGUCUUUAUAGGUGCAGUAGCUGGAUCAUACAGUGAAAUGAAAACCUAUGGGAAGUUGGGCCCCAUCCUGCAAAUAUUCAUAUAUUAACUGAAUUUUGUUUCUUCCAACCCCCAGGGGACAGGACAGCACUCCAGCUCCUUCACACUGAGGCAGAGCUUUUCUGAAGGACUCAAGUCUGCAUUUGCACGCCUCAUUUUCUCAUAGUUCAACUUUGCUCCAUGACUUGUUUGUACAACAAAGGUAAGCAUGAAAUAGGCCUUGCUCCAGAGGAGGGUGUUUCUAAGGUAUUGCUUAUAUACAUAUGAAUAAACACAGUAUAUUAAUUUUCUGUAGACUAGCAUUAUGUUCAUUAUUGCAGUAAAAACUUAUGCAGAAUGUAAACUCUCAGAUGUGAUAAAACAGUAUCACCCUUUGAAGACUAGUUUCACAUUGAAUACACUGUAUUUUUAAAAGCUGUUAAAUUACGUGUCAGUUGUAAACAUUCUUUGACUAUCCUGCAGCUAAAACAAGAUGGAAGUUUACAUUUAAAAUAAGGAACAAAUCCCUGAAUAUUUCACCCUCAACCUUGUAAGCAGCUCCAUGGUGCCAGGAUGCAUUACCUUCACCUGGAAUCCACCAGAUCACAGUAAUCCAUAUAUCAUAGAACCAUGGAAUGGUUUGGGUUGGAAGGGACCUUUAGGAUCAUCUAGUUCCACUCCCCUUCAAUAGGCAGGGACACCUCCCCCUAGACCAGGUCGCUCACAGCCCCAUCCAGCCUGGCCUUGAAUGCUUCCAGGGAGGGGGCAUUCACAACCUCUCUGGACAACCUGUUUCACUGUCUCACCACGUUCACAGUAAAGAAUUUCUUCCUAAUAUCUAGUCUAAAUCUACAUUUUUCCAGUUUAAAACCACUUCCCCUCAUCCUGUCACUACAUGCCCUUACAAAAAGUCCCUCCCCAGUGCAUAUAUGUGUAUUGAUAAAAGAUAUACCCACAAAAAAUCCUAUUAAAAAGUUAUAGAAGAAGGAUUCAGCCACACCCUUUCUUUCCCAAAUCAGAAUAUUACUCUUUUAUUGCAGCAAGACCACUCUAGUAUGUCAGUGGAAAUUUUCAUGAAUUGAUAUAUUUGAUGAAGGUCCUCUUCAUCAAAUGGAUCCUCUCCUCAGUGUAGGACUUCAAUUUUGUUCAGUGCAUACUGCAAUCAUCCCAUUAUGAAAAAAAGAUUCUUGAAAAUGUGAAUGAAAUGAAGCUGAUGCAGUGUUGGUGUUGUGAGUAUGCCUGUACUUAACCUCAAAGUAGCAUUAUUUACUGCUUUCCUGCUGAAAAACUGGAUAAAAGUUGAUGUAACUCAUACAUCAAUUACAUUUCAGUGCCACUUAGACUAUCAAAAUCACUGAGUCAGUGAGACAACUCACAUGAAAAUAUCUUUUGCUAGAUGGUUAGGGUUACAUGACAAACUUAUCAUUUUCAAAACUUUAAAUUGGAUUUCAUGUCAUAUUUAUUGUGAACUGCCAAUGAAGUCAGAAAAAUACCUGUUUAAAAAAAACCCAUACUUCUACGCUCUCCAAUAGACAGACAACCAUAGAUUGCAAACUACUGGUCUUCAUCUAAUCUACCCAGAAUUUAGAUGACCUAGAGGUGAUGAGAAUUGUUUGGUAAUGUUUUAAAAUGUUUUGGGAAAUAUUUGUAAAAUUAUUUGAGUUCCUAAGAGAGAAAAGUGUCACUACUGUCCAAACUGUUGCUGUUAUGUAUAGAUACUAAUUGCAGUGUGUUUCACAAACAGGUGAAACUCAACUGUAUUGGUUAAAGUAACAUUCACAAACGAGAGAUACAAAAAUGUAGAUAGAGCUAUCCAAAUAUGUUGUGCAAAGCCAAAAGAAUUAUAUAGGAUUAUAUAGAUAGAUAGAUAUAGAUAGAUAGAAUUAUAUCGUAGC